CUACAGCUAUCUUCUUCGAAAAUUACCAAUGAAUUUGUUGGUAAAUUGAUUAGAUUUCCUGUGCAAUUUGUUUGGCAUGUGUUGUUUACCGAAUAUUUGUUUAAUAACAUCAUUAUUUCUCCUCCAUUUCCAGGAAAAAAUGUGAAAGGUGCAUGAAGCCAGUACCGUCAACUAUUGUGUUAAAAAUCCUGGUAUCCUACAGAAUAUGUCAUCCAAAUGACCAAAUAACAGAGUGGAUUCAUCACUAUUAUCGGCUGAAUUAUUCUAUGGGACUUGCCAGAUCACCAACCGCCAAAGCAUGGACCAAUUUCUCAUUCCAUCUUCUAGAGAACCUUACAUAACCGAUUGGUGGUUUAGUGUUUAAGUUUACUUGUCAUGUCACUAAACUUAUUUUGUUGCAGUCUUAUAGGUAUUUAAAGUAUUGUUCUGCACUUAAGUCUAUCAAUGUUUAAGUUUAAUUUUUCUUUUAGAUCAUAGACAUCAAGCACAUUGAUGCCACAAAUUAUAGACAAGACUUUAUGAGAAGUCAUGUUGUUUGAAGAAAAAGGACUAUACAGUCGACAAGGUUCUUUGCUAACCCGUUGGCUGCUACCCUUGAAUCUCCCUGUUUACUUCCUUACACGGGUCCUCUUGAUUUAAGGGUAAUCCUUCGCUACUGAUCAUACACCCACUUGUGAAAACCGACGAGAGAAUGCUGUAA